AGAGUUUGAUCCUGGCUCAGAUUGAACGCUGGCGGCAGGCCUAACACAUGCAAGUCGAGCGGUAGCACAGAGAGCUUGCUCUCGGGUGACGAGCGGCGGACGGGUGAGUAAUGUCUGGGAAACUGCCUGAUGGAGGGGGAUAACUACUGGAAACGGUAGCUAAUACCGCAUAACGUCGCAAGACCAAAGUGGGGGACCUUCGGGCCUCAUGCCAUCAGAUGUGCCCAGAUGGGAUUAGCUAGUAGGUGGGGUAACGGCUCACCUAGGCGACGAUCCCUAGCUGGUCUGAGAGGAUGACCAGCCACACUGGAACUGAGACACGGUCCAGACUCCUACGGGAGGCAGCAGUGGGGAAUAUUGCACAAUGGGCGCAAGCCUGAUGCAGCCAUGCCGCGUGUGUGAAGAAGGCCUUCGGGUUGUAAAGCACUUUCAGCGGGGAGGAAGGCGUUAAGGUUAAUAACCUUGGCGAUUGACGUUACCCGCAGAAGAAGCACCGGCUAACUCCGUGCCAGCAGCCGCGGUAAUACGGAGGGUGCAAGCGUUAAUCGGAAUUACUGGGCGUAAAGCGCACGCAGGCGGUCUGUCAAGUCGGAUGUGAAAUCCCCGGGCUCAACCUGGGAACUGCAUUCGAAACUGGCAGGCUAGAGUCUUGUAGAGGGGGGUAGAAUUCCAGGUGUAGCGGUGAAAUGCGUAGAGAUCUGGAGGAAUACCGGUGGCGAAGGCGGCCCCCUGGACAAAGACUGACGCUCAGGUGCGAAAGCGUGGGGAGCAAACAGGAUUAGAUACCCUGGUAGUCCACGCCGUAAACGAUGUCGAUUUGGAGGUUGUGCCCUUGAGGCGUGGCUUCCGGAGCUAACGCGUUAAAUCGACCGCCUGGGGAGUACGGCCGCAAGGUUAAAACUCAAAUGAAUUGACGGGGGCCCGCACAAGCGGUGGAGCAUGUGGUUUAAUUCGAUGCAACGCGAAGAACCUUACCUGGUCUUGACAUCCACAGAACUUUCCAGAGAUGGAUUGGUGCCUUCGGGAACUGUGAGACAGGUGCUGCAUGGCUGUCGUCAGCUCGUGUUGUGAAAUGUUGGGUUAAGUCCCGCAACGAGCGCAACCCUUAUCCUUUGUUGCCAGCGGUUAGGCCGGGAACUCAAAGGAGACUGCCAGUGAUAAACUGGAGGAAGGUGGGGAUGACGUCAAGUCAUCAUGGCCCUUACGACCAGGGCUACACACGUGCUACAAUGGCAUAUACAAAGAGAAGCGACCUCGCGAGAGCAAGCGGACCUCAUAAAGUAUGUCGUAGUCCGGAUUGGAGUCUGCAGCUCGACUCCAUAAAGUCGGAAUCGCUAGUAAUCGUAGAUCAGAAUGCUACGGUGAAUACGUUCCCGGGCCUUGCACACACCGCCCGUC
rnacentral:rRNA from 1 species